rnacentral:piRNA from 1 species
UAAGAUUUAGAAUGACUGGUCACACU